UACGGAGGGUGCGAGCGUUGUCCGGAAUCACUGGGCGUAAAGGGCGCGUAGGCGGCUGGGUAAGUCAUGCGUGAAAUUCCGGGGCUCAACCCCGGAACGGCGUGUGGGACUGCCCGGCUAGAGCACGGUAGAGGCGAGUGGAAUUCCAGGUGUAGCGGUGGAAUGCGUAGAUAUCUGGAAGAACACCGGUGGCGAAGGCGGCUCGCUGGGCCGUUGCUGACGCUGAGGCGCGAAAGCGUGGGGAGCAAACAGG
rnacentral:rRNA from 1 species